rnacentral:rRNA from 1 species
GACGAACGCUGGCGGCGUGCUUAACACAUGCAAGUCGAACGGUAAGGCCCCUUCGGGGGUACACGAGUGGCGAACGGGUGAGUAACACGUGGGUGAUCUGCCCUGCACUUCGGGAUAAGCCUGGGAAACUGGGUCUAAUACCGGAUAGGACCACGCUCUGCAUGGAGUGUGGUGGAAAGCUUUUGCGGUGUGGGAUGGGCCCGCGGCCUAUCAGCUUGUUGGUGGGGUGAUGGCCUACCAAGGCGACGACGGGUAGCCGGCCUGAGAGGGUGUCCGGCCACACUGGGACGGGGAUACGGCCCAGACUCCUACGGGAGGCAGCAGUGGGGAAGAUUGCACAAUGGGCGCAAGCCUGAUGCAGCGACGCCGCGUGGGGGAUGACGGCCUUCGGGUUGUAAACCUCUUUCAGUACCGACGAAGCGCAAGUGACGGUAGGUACAGAAGAAGCACCGGCCAACUACGUG